GUGGAUGUAGCUCAGUGGUAGAGUUCGAGAUUGUGGAUCUCGCCGUCGCGGGUUCAACCCCCGUCAUCCACC
rnacentral:tRNA from 1 species